rnacentral:lncRNA from 1 species
UUUCCUGUGUUACCCAGGCUGGAGUGCAGUAGUGUGAUCAUAUCUUACUGCAAUCUUGAGCCUCAUGGGCUCAAGCAACCCUCCCACCUCAGUUUCCCAUGUAGCUGGAACCACAGGUCAAGGAAGCUUUUCCUGAUCCACUAACUAAGGACAAUCAAACCCUUCAUGAUCUAGAAUCUGGAGACUGUGUCUUCUGGGAAUAGUAUCAGAGAAAGACUGCCCUUACUGCCCACAUGUAGCAAAACUUUGAGACGUUGAAUUAUGGGUCCAUAAUCUCACAACUCAGAGGGGCACCUCUAGACUCUUGGAACUGUAUAUCUAUUGGAGACUUUAAGGUAAAGCUGAACAGAGAGACGUUUUUCUCCAGAAGCAGACAGCACCAUAGUCAUGGACAGCUUUCCCAAGAUCACAGAUCAAGACUUCUCUGCCGUCAUGAGACUCAUAACCUCUUAAUUUUUUCUUGCUUAUGCUUCUGUGAACAAUAGAAUUGGAAAAGGGGUGGUCCCGCGUGCACCCAUAGGGUAUACUUUUAUUUGUGGAGGAUUUUGCUGCCAACCUUAUACAUGGGCAAACUUAUGCCUUCAUGGAUGGAAGAUAAAGGGCUAAUAUGGGUUAGAAAUUUUAAUGGUACCUUUGUUUCUCCAUAAUCAUUCAGAAACAGAACACUGGUCCACUCUUGUUAACCUACAUCAUAGGUUGAAGAGAACAUUGCCAGGAGGCCUUCAUCCUUCCAGAUGGGCACCAUUUGUUGGGUCUUUUUCCGUGGUAUGAAGAAAAUGAAGCAAUGAUUAGAAAUUGGUCCCUCGGCCGGGCACAAUGGCUCAUGCCUGUAAUCCCAUCACUUUGGCAGGCCGAGGCGGGUGGAUCACCUGAGGUCAGGAGUUUGAGACCAGCCUGACCAAUGUGGUGAAACGCCAUCUCUACUAAAAAUACAAAAAUUAGCUGGGUGUGAUGGUGCACACCUGUAAUCCAGCUACUCGGGAGGCUGAGACAGGAGAAUUGCUUGAACCUGGGAGGCAGAGGUUGCAGUGAGCCAAGAUCACCCCACUGCAUUCCAGGUUGGGCAACAGAGCAAGACUCUGUCUCAAAAAAAAAAGAAGAAAGAAAGAAAUUGAUCCCUCAUAAUAGGCUGUAUAGCAGAUUCUACUGCAAAGGCUAUGGUUGCACAACAGACUUCUUUGAAUUUGCUUGCUAAACUUUUACUGGAUAAUACUGGGAUUACAGGUGUGAGCCACUGUGCCCAGCCUCUCCUGUUUAACUGUAUUCAUUCUAAUGUUUACUUACUUCUUUAAUUUGUAAAAUUGGGUCACUUAGAGUUUUUUUAGCCUAUCUUGCCAUUUAGCCACUGUUACUGAUAAUUUGGAUGGAAAAGAAAAAUAAAU